GCGGCGGCGGCGGCGGCAGCGGCGGCGCGCGGCGGUACAGCGCGGCGCACGUGGGCGGCGGCAGCGUGCUCACGGCGUACGACUACGUCACGACGCGCAUCGUGGAGGUGAUGCGCAGCGACGAGGAGCGCAGCAAGCCGCCCUUCCACCCGCCCACCUCCUACGCCUACCCGUACUCCGCGCUCAACGUGUCCACGCCCGCCACCGACGGGCCGACGGUGACCGGCGGCGCGAGCCCGGCGGCGCCGCUGCCCGCGCCCGUGCAGCCCGAGCCCGCGCCGCUCAUGUCGGCGCAGUACGAGCCGCUGUCGGACGAGGACUGACGCCCCGUGCGCCCCGCGCCCGCGCCCGCGUCCCGCGCCUAGCGCUCGCACCCCCCGCGCGGGGGGGAGCGCGCCUCCGUCAUACGCCACGCCGCGCCCGCGCGAUGACGAGACGAGCCGUGACGUCACCACACCCACGCCACUGGUGACACUGCGACUCGGUCGAGAGCAAGCUGCAAUGUACUCCUAAUGAGUGACAUUCCAUCGUGGAAUAUAUUAUCAAUAGGAAGAGUGACAUGUGAUAUAUACGGAGAUUCUACUGAAUACGAAUUCGUGAAAUGUACAGAAAAAACAUGUUUGAAAUAAGAUUUCACCGCGUAUUAUACAAAAAUUUUAAUUAUUAUAUACUUUUAACAAUUUUAGGUGUUUUGAGUUCACGACACGUUUUUAGUGAUUUGCUUUUGAGUUCUAUACGAACGAAGGGGACGAUGCUGUUACAACGAAUACAAAAAAAAAAUAAUUAAUAAAAAAGUGGCACAGACAUUAAAACGUAAAAGUUAACAUUGAACCGAACGUAUGAACAUUUACUAAAGUGACUACAAUUAAUUGACGUCUAGCGAAAGUGUCGGUGCGAAGUGAUCUCAGCGGGUGAUCUAGGGACUGACGAGUGGUGCGACGUGUGACGCGUGACACGUGACGUGUGAUGCGUGACGUGUGACGUGUGACGUAGACCGAGCAGACACUGUUUUGUGUUACAUGAAGCUUUAAUCGAGUGACAUUCAAUGUGAUCCGAUAUAUGCACAGAUUUUUUAUAACCGAUAUUUCUGUAUGCCACAUUUGUUGUUGACAUUUUAUUUUAACAGAGCGAUUAAAAUGUAUUAUUGUGUAAAUUGUAUCGACGACAUGAUGUAGAGGUGGAGGCACACUCGUGCCACGAUGCGCGACACGCAUUUAUGGUGCUUCUUAUUUUAUUGAAUCACUUUUUGUGUCACACCUUGAACUUACAGGAGUUGAGGUUACAGAAUAUAAUAAAGAAAGAAAGAAAAUAUAUCAUUAAGUUAUGUCUGGGGAUGAUAUGAGUACAUUGGUAGGUCAAUUUAGGAAUUUAUAAUUUUUAUAUUAGCAUUAUUUACUUUUAAGAUGUUUGAAAGAAAUCGAUCGAUCGUUCCAGUUAAAUUUGAUAAAGGAAUACAAAAUUGGAUAACAUUAAUGAAAUGAAGCGAUGCGUGUUACAAGUGUGUCUCCACCGUAAUAUGUAAGUAAAGCGAGCAUGCUUAUGAGGAAUCUGCUGCCGCAGCGCGCCUGAUGAUUGUUGUUGACGUAGAGUGAGACUGUGUGAAUAUUGAAUACAUAUUUAUUUGUUGUUUAUUUCCAACUUGUUUUGUCUUUUAAUGUUAAAUGUUGUAUUUGUAUUGUAUUCGACGCAACACCGAGUAAUGGCGUUUUCAAAACAGUUUUACCUUUAGCGGAAUACGCUGAAUAUUGUAAUGUAUGAAAUCUCGACCGAAACUAUCGUUUAUAAUUAAUCGCGUUUUUAAUUAUUAAUAUCGUGUUUAUUGGUUUUAAUUAUUAUUUAUUGACUCUUUUUUUUAAAUAAUGGAAAUUCAAUUAGUAAAAUGUUGAAUGAUAAACGAAAAUCUUCUUGACUGUUGUUGGUGUAAUAUGGGCAACAAAUUAUUUAUAGUAUUAAGCAAGUCAUUUAUUAAUAAACAUAUCAACUAUUAUUAACUUGAAUGAUAUUUUUGAAAAUGUACAUUAUUCCGUAUUGCGUGUAUCGAGAUGUGGUCACACUAGUGCGAUUUCAUUUUCAACUUGCAAUUUUUUUUUAUUUCUAUGCUAUGUUGCCGUAUAGUGGACGCAAGUGGAAGAUGCGCGUUAGUGUGAACACACCUUUUGAGAUGGAUAUAUUCUAUGUAAGGGCCUAUUCGCACGGGUGUGAGAUAGUCGCGUUUUGAAAGGGUUUUACAAGUCAUUGACAAGCAGGCUAUUGUAUUAUAUGUUGUAUAUUUUUAAUUAUGUAUUGUUUUUAAGCCGCGCGUUUUUAAUAAUACUUAUUUGUCAAGACUUUUUAUGAUUUUAUCUAAUUUUAUUCGUAUUAAUAUUGUAUAAAUGUCGGUCGUGGUCGUCCGUGCGAUGGGCCGCCCGUGUACAGCACUGCCGCUGCGUAACUAAGGGGCAGCCACACGUAGGAACUUUAAUAUGUACCCAGUCUUCCAUCUCAACACCGGUAGCGUAGGAUCGUCGCGCGACUUCGUCCAUAUCUACACCUAAGUAUUUGUAAAUUGUGUAUAGUUUGUAUAAACCUCGCCCCGGGCCUUGCGCAGAUUCCUCGCUCUGACGGGCGUGCGGCUGUCGCGCGGCGGCCGCACGCAGGUCGCGCGACAGUCGCGUAGCUUCGCUUCGGAUUUCGCUGUCGCAUCUUCACUCGAGUUAGUAUACGCGUAGCUGAACCGUUCAUUGUCGACAUGUAAAUAGCGCAUCUGUACAGUCGCGGCGCGAAGUCCGGACGCCUCGUGCGAGUGCUACGGAGAGGAAACGGUAAAUUAUGAUUAUACAUAUUGUAAUGUAAACGCGUAUGGUUAUCUGUAUACAUACUGUGCAUUUGUAAUUAUACAGGCUAGUUUAAUGAGUACGAUAGAGAUUUUCAUUUUCUAGUUAGGUCGGUCCGACGGACCGGGCGCUGCGCCGCCGCCCGCGCGCUACUGUUCUGUGGAAUAUCUCGAGAGCUGCCCGCGUCUCCCCUGCGUCUGCACUGUAGUGCGUGAGAGGACGAUACUUGUUGAUACGAAUGUACAUGUUUGCUGUUUUAUAUUUGACUAUGACAAAUGAGUGAAUGUUGAGUGCUGUCUCUAUAUAUCAUUUAAAUAAUAGUGUACAAACCUCUGAUGAGUUGUGACAUUUGGAAGCGUGUCCGCGAUCUAUCUCAUCUGGAUUAGUUCAAGUAUUUGACGUCAGAAAGAUACGAUUCAAAUGUCACAAAUAAUCCGGGUUAUUCUAUUGAAAUGUUAGCUUAUCUUGACCUAUUAAACAUUUAACACGACGCUUAUUAUACGGUGAUAAAGUUUACUGUAGCAACACUAGGAGUAUGUCUCGGCUGCGGCGCAGGCGGGGACGCGUGCAGGCGUGUACAUGUAUGGAGCUAUUGUGUAAACCGACUGAUUAAAUUAAUUUUGUCUGCGUGCGAGCGAGCGGCGGCGGCGGCGGCCCACAACUUGUGAUGAUUUGUUUAUAAAAUAAAUAAAACUGUAACGUAUUGUAAGUAGUCGAAAGAAAAAGAUAAUCCUUGUAAGUCCAAUCGUAAGCGAAAACAAAGUUUUGGGCGAACACAUCAAUAAAUAAGAUGCAAAUCUU
rnacentral:lncRNA from 1 species